rnacentral:tRNA from 7 species
CGGGACGUGGCGCAGCUUGGUAGCGCACCUGACUGGGGGUCAGGGGGUCGUGGGUUCGAAUCCCGCCGUCCCGACCA